UACGGAGGGUGCAAGCGUUGUCCGGAUUUAUUGGGUUUAAAGGGUGCGUAGGCGGCUUUUUAAGUCAGUGGUGAAAUCCAUCAGCUCAACUGAUGAACUGCCAUUGAUACUGGGAAGCUUGAGUACAGACGAGGUAGGCGGAAUUGAAGGUGUAGCGGUGAAAUGCAUAGAUAUCUUCAAGAACACCGAUUGCGAAGGCAGCUUACUAGGCUGUAACUGACGCUGAGGCACGAAAGUGCGGGGAUCAAAC
rnacentral:rRNA from 1 species